rnacentral:rRNA from 1 species
GUGCCAGCCGCAGCGGUAAUACGAAGGGGCUAGCGUUGUUCGGAAUUACUGGGCGUAAAGCGCACGUAGGCGGAUUGUUAAGUGAGGGUGAAAUCCCAGAGCUCAACCCUGGAACUGCCUCUCAUACUGGCAAUCUCGAGUUCGAGAGAGGUGAGUGGAAUUCCGAGUGUAGAGGUGAAAUUCGUAGAUAUUCGGAGGAACACCAGUGGCGAAGGCGGCUCACUGGCUCGAUACUGACGCUGAGGUGCGAAAGCGUGGGAGCGAAACAGGAUUAGAUACCCUGGUAGUCCACGCCGUAAACGAUGAAUGCUAGCCGUCGC